GAAAUGCGAUAAGUAAUGUGAAUUGCAGAAUUCCGUGAGUCAUCGAAUCUUUGAACGCACAUUGCGCCCACUGGUGUUCCGGUCAGCAUGCCUGUUCUAGCGUCAUUCCUGCCCUCAAGCACGGCUUGUGUGUAGGGCCCCCGCCCCCCGGUCCCGGGGGGCGGGCCCGAAAGGCAGCGGCGGCACCGCGUCCGGUACUCGAGCGUAUGGGGCUUCGUCACCCGCUCUUGUAGGCCCGGCCGGCGCCCGCCGGCGACCCUCAUCAAUCUUUCCAGGUUGACCUCGGAUCAGGUAGGGAUACCCGCUGAACUUAA
rnacentral:misc_RNA from 1 species